rnacentral:lncRNA from 1 species
CACCACUGUUCUCCAGCCUGGGCUACAAAGCGAGACUCUGUCUCUAAAGAAAAACAUACUGGUGGCAUUGUCAAGAUUUGUCAAGAAAUAGCCAUUAUGCUGGGCCCAGUGGUGUGCACCUGUAGUGCCAGCUUUUCAGGAGGCUGAAGUGGGAGAAUCUCUUGAGCCUAGGAGUUUGAGUUCAGCUUGGGCAGCAUUGCAAGAGCCCAGUCUCAAAAAUAUUAGGUCAAUAAGAUUUAUUUUAAUUAAACAAGAAAAAGAAAUAUCUGCUAAAAUUUAAAGCUAUUCUAUUCUUCCUCUCUCUCUUCUAGUGUUCUUGGGGAAGAUCCCGACUAAGCCAUUUUCCAGUGGCACCUCUUCCACCAUGAGUUCCUGAGGCAGUCCGAUGGGGCUACUUUAUUCCAGAACAAUCACAAUUUCCUUGUAAAUGAA